rnacentral:pre_miRNA from 1 species
CUAAGUACUAGUGCCGCAGGAGAUAGUUCAAACGACACGUAGUAGACCCCUGCUGCCCCAGUGCUUAUCA